GGGGACAGAGAGGUCAAGAAAACUCCACUAACUCAAUCUUGAAAAUGAGUCAAAUAGGUUCAAAGCGAUCCAAACUACAAGUAUAGCUUCACAUAUACACGGUGAAUAUUUGUUCAAAAGAUCUUCCAAAGAAGAUCAAGAUGUCACCAUGUAUUUCAUAUACUUGGCCAAGAACACAAGAGAAAGAGAGUUUUGGGAAAAACCAAAUCAAGCCAAAUCUGAAAGGGAUUGGAGGACGGAAAUGUUGCUCACAAGGGUCCUAGCAACAAAAGCCUCCAACAAAUCUCACGGAUUUCGCAGCCAAAUGCAAAGAACAAAAAAUCCCCAAAAAUACCUCUGAAAAUCCCAAAAAGAUAAAACUUAGAUCUUGAGAUGGAGAAGCAAUUGAACGAAAUUGAUUCUUAGAUUACUCCACCAUAUCCGGUUACAAGACACUCCUAGGCACAAACAAAACUAAGAUGGCAAAAAGAUCAAAUCAAAGAUCCCUCAUCUCUCUCCAUCUCUCCCCCCUAAAUGCUCUCACAACCAAAAU
rnacentral:lncRNA from 1 species